rnacentral:rRNA from 1 species
CUUAUGCGUUGUUGGGUAGGGGAGCGUUCUGUAAGCCUGCGAAGGUGGCCUGUGAGGGUUGCUGGAGGUAUCAGAAGUGCGAAUGCUGACAUAAGUAACGAUAAAGCGGGUGAAAAGCCCGCUCGCCGGAAGACCAAGGGUUCCUGUCCAACGUUAAUCGGGGCAGGGUGAGUCGACCCCUAAGGCGAGGCCGAAAGGCGUAGUCGAUGGGAAACAGGUUAAUAUUCCUGUACUUGGUGUUACUGCGAAGGGGGGACGGAGAAGGCUAUGUUGGCCGGGCGACGGUUGUCCCGGUUUAAGCGUGUAGGUGUGUGUUCCAGGUAAAUCCGGUUCACUUUAACACUGAGGCGUGACGACGAGGCACUACGGUGCUGAAGCAACAAAUGCCCUGCUUCCAGGAAAAGCCUCUAAGCAUCAGGUAACAUCAAAUCGUACCCCAAACCGACACAGGUGGUCAGGUAGAGAAUACCAAGGCGCUUGAGAGAACUCGGGUGAAGGAACUAGGCAAAAUGGUGCCGUAACUUCGGGAGAAGGCACGCUGACACGUAGGUGAAGUGAUUUACUCAUGGAGCUGAAGUCAGUCGAAGAUACCAGCUGGCUGCAACUGUUUAUUAAAAACACAGCACUGUGCAAACACGAAAGUGGACGUAUACGGUGUGACGCCUGCCCGGUGCCGGAAGGUUAAUUGAUGGGGUCAGCGCAAGCGAAGCUCCUGAUCGAAGCCCCGGUAAACGGCGGCCGUAACUAUAACGGUCCUAAGGUAGCGAAAUUCCUUGUCGGGUAAGUUCCGACCUGCACGAAUGGCGUAAUGAUGGCCAGGCUGUCUCCACCCGAGACUCAGUGAAAUUGAACUCGCUGUGAAGAUGCAGUGUACCCGCGGCAAGACGGAAAGACCCCGUGAACCUUUACUAUAGCUUGACACUGAACAUUGAGCCUUGAUGUGUAGGAUAGGUGGGAGGCUUUGAAGUGUGGACGCCAGUCUGCAUGGAGCCGACCUUGAAAUACCACCCUUUAAUGUUUGAUGUUCUAACGUGGACCCGUAAUCCGGGUUGCGGACAGUGUCUGGUGGGUAGUUUGACUGGGGCGGUCUCCUCCUAAAGAGUAACGGAGGAGCACGAAGGUUGGCUAAUCCUGGUCGGACAUCAGGAGGUUAGUGCAAUGGCAUAAGCCAGCUUGACUGCGAGCGUGACGGCGCGAGCAGGUGCGAAAGCAGGUCAUAGUGAUCCGGUGGUUCUGAAUGGAAGGGCCAUCGCUCAACGGAUAAAAGGUACUCCGGGGAUAACAGGCUGAUACCGCCCAAGAGUUCAUAUCGACGGCGGUGUUUGGCACCUCGAUGUCGGCUCAUCACAUCCUGGGGCUGAAGUAGGUCCCAAGGGUAUGGCUGUUCGCCAUUUAAAGUGGUACGCGAGCUGGGUUUAGAACGUCGUGAGACAGUUCGGUCCCUAUCUGCCGUGGGCGCUGGAGAACUGAGGGGGGCUGCUCCUAGUACGAGAGGACCGGAGUGGACGCAUCACUGGUGUUCGGGUUGUCAUGCCAAUGGCACUGCCCGGUAGCUAAAUGCGGAAGAGAUAAGUGCUGAAAGCAUCUAAGCACGAAACUUGCCCCGAGAUGAGUUCUCCCUGAGACUUAGAGUCUCCUGAAGGAACGUUGAAGACGACGACGUUGAUAGGCCGGGUGUGUAAGCGCAGCGAUGCGUUGAGCUAACCGGUACUAAUGAACCGUGAGGCUUAACCUU